CUGUAGAAGCUUGGUCAGGGGCUUUCUAUGGAUGAAGUUCGGUUUCAUGCAGAAUCCGGCAGAAGGUCGACCGACAGUGGAUGUCGGAUGGUGCUGGAGAGGUUCACCCACUGGAGAGGUCCGACUGUUGGAGCCCGUGUGUCAUAGGAGUUCGUCCGAAAUCUAUCCGCUAUAGAAGUUCGGUCGGAGUCUGGUUCUCGUAGAAGUCCGGAUGGGGAUCAUUUGUUGAGGAAGCUCGGUCGAAGCCUGCCUGCAAUAGAAGUUCGAAAGGAAUUCAUUCAUAAUAGAAGCUCAGAUUAAGGCUUACAGUAGAAAUUCGACAUGGACCGCUCAUAGUAGAAAUUCGAAGUAGACCGCUUGUAGUAGAAAUUCGAAGUAGACCGCUUGUAGUGGUAGCUCGGAGUAG
rnacentral:lncRNA from 1 species